AAGGACGGUGCCAGCCGCCGCGGUAAUACCGGCGCCUCAAGUGGUAGUCUUUUUUAUUGGGCCUAAAACGUCCGUAGCCGGUCUGAUACAUUCGUGGGUAAAUCAACCAGCUCAACUGGUUGAAUUCUGCGAGGACGGCCAGACUUGGGACCGGGAGAGGUGGGGGGUACUCUCAGGGUAGGGGUAAAAUCCUGUCAUCCUGAGCGGACCACCUGUUGCGAAGGCGCCACACUAGAACGGAUCCGACGGUCAGGGACGAAACCUAGGGGCACAAACCGGAUUAAAUACCCGGGUAGUCCUAGGUGUAAACGCUGUGGACUUGAUGUUGGGGGUCCUCCGAGCACUCUCAGUGUCGAAGCGAAGGUGAUAAGUCCCCU
rnacentral:rRNA from 1 species